CAGCAGCCACGGUAAUACAGAGGGUGCGAGCGUUAAUUGGAUUUACUGGGCGUAAAGCGUGCGUAGGCGGCUUUUUAAGUCGGAUGUGAAAUCCCUGAGCUUAACUUAGGAAUUGCAUUCGAUACUGGGAAGCUAGAGUAUGGGAGAGGAUGGUAGAAUUCCAGGUGUAGCGGUGAAAUGCGUAGAGAUCUGGAGGAAUACCGAUGGCGAAGGCAGCCAUCUGGCCUAAUACUGACGCUGAGGUACGAAAGCAUGGGGAGCAAACAGGAUUAGAUACCCCUGUAGUCCCUGUCUCUUAUAC
rnacentral:rRNA from 1 species